rnacentral:tRNA from 5 species
GGGCGCUUAGCUCAGUUGGUUAGAGCGACUGGUUUACACCCAGUAGGUCAAAGGUUCGACUCCUUUAGCGCCCACCA